rnacentral:rRNA from 1 species
GAUGAACGCUGGCGGCGUGCCUAAUACAUGCAAGUCGAGCGAACAGACGAGGAGCUUUCUCCUCUGACGUUAGCGGCGGACGGGUGAGUAACACGUGGAUAACCUACCUAUAAGACUGGGAUAAAUUCGGGAAACCGGAGCUAAUACCGGAUAAUAUAUUGAACCGCAUGGUUCAAUAGUUAAAGACGGUUUUGCUGUCACUUAUAGAUUGAUCCGCGCCGCAUUAGCUAGUUGGUAAGGUAACGGCUUACCAAGGCAACGAUGCGUAGCCGACCUGAGAGGGUGAUCGGACACACUGGAACUGAGACACGUUCCAGACUCCUACGGGAGGCAGCAGUAGGGAAUCUUCCGCAAUGGGCGAAAGCCUGACGGAGCAACGCCGCGUGAGUGAUGAAGGUCUUCGGAUCGUAAAACUCUGUUAUUAGGGAAGAACAAAUGUGUAAGUAACUAUGCACGUCUUGACGGUACCUAAUCAGAAAGCCACGGCUAACUACGUG